rnacentral:lncRNA from 10 species
CUGGUUUCCAAGAAUUGGUCGAUGUGGGAGAAACGCCCCGCUUUGGUGUCAGAAGUGUUGUGUAAGUAGAGAAAUGAUCCAAGGACCAGCCUCCGUAAGACCAGGACCCAAACUUCAGUUUGCAGUGCUGCACAUCAAAGGGAAACCAGCGUACAUCGAUGUAGCAGGAACUCUUGAAUAUGCCUGUGUGGGUGAUGGAAACAGAAGACUGAAACGGAAGCUGACUGAGAUGUGCUGAAAAUACACAGCAGUUCCUUCAGCCGGUUCCGCCCUCCGCACUGCAGCUAACACAGUCCAGAGCAAAUGGAAUCUGUCUUUUUAUUUAUUCGCAAAAUCUGUAAAACAGAAUCUCAGCUAAGCUUCACUGUCUUUUAAAAUCCAAACGUAACACUGACAUGCUCUCUCAAAGACUGUUUUGUGGGCUUUUUGUGCAAAAAGUUAGCUCUAUAAUCUGCAUUUACCAUGAGCAUCUUCAGACUCUAAAUAAUAAAAGUAAAGAAUGCAAAAUAUCUCAGAGAAGUUGAUAACCCUGAUGAUGAAGUUAGAAAUAGAAUCUAAAAGGUGUGUGUGUGUGUGUGUGUGUGUGUGUCUGUUUGGUGCGGGGUGAGGUAGGCAUUUUCUUUAGGUUAAAAAUGGGAAGAACACAUGAUUAUCGAGAAAUACAAUCUAGAAUUCUGGUUAAAGCUAGAAUUUUAACUAAUUUAAAUUCUAGAUGAAGAACAGAACAAGCUGGGCACAGUGUCUCAUGCCCGUAAUCCCAGUGACUCUAAGACAUUGACGUGGGAGGGUCACUUGAGACUAGGAGUUUGAGACCGGACUGGGCAACAUAGUGAGACAUCUCUAAUAAAAAAAAUUAGCUGGGUGAGGUGAUGCAUGCCUGUAGUCCCAGCUACUCAGAAGGCUAAGGCAGGAGCAUUGCUUGAGCCCAGGAGUUUGAGGCUAAAGUGAAGUGAGCUAUGAUCGAGCCCCUGCACUCCAGCCUGGGGAACACACCUAGAAUCUGUCUGUAAGAAAAAAAGUUAAAACAAACAAACAAACAAACAAACAAACAAAAACAAGAACAGAUAGAUAGGUUUAAGCUGAAGAGAUGGUGCUUGAAGGAAGAGUUUCCGCUGAAAAGAGCUAUUCCAGGCUAGGACAGGUUGGAAGUGGAUUUCCCAGAGGGCCAAGGGGAGGAAACCAGAUAGAGGCCACUCCAGUUAUUUACACUCAUGUGCUCUUCCCUGCCCAGAGGAAGGCUGCAUGGCACAAGAAGACAGGCACAGACUCGGUGUCCAGGUGUUCCUGGGGCAGGGCUGGCACUCUGCAAACUUCUGUUACUGAGUUACAGAAAGAGUGCACGCAGGAAGGGCCUCCACAGCCUUGCACACAAGGACCCCACCCCACAACCGAGUUGGGAAAAGAUACACAUUUUGUCCCCUGAAGUUCCUUUAAGUAUGCUUUGCGUCCUUACAUGAAAUGUUUAUAGGAAUCUGGAAUCAUCACAGACAAUCCCCCUCCAUUAAUAGUUGGAUCCCCCCAAAACCCACCUUGUCUGCCAGUUAGUUGGAAAGCUUUGUAACUUCAUGAGCCCAUUUCUACGAAAUAAUGGCCCGAGACAGACAGAGAAUUUCUAGAGACAGAAAGCAGAUCAGUGGUUGCUGGGAGUAGGAAUGGGAAUUAACUGCAAACAAGCAAAAGGGAUCUUUGUGGGGUGAUGGGAAUGUUCUAAAACUAGACUGUGGUAAUGGUUGCAUAAGUCUGUAAAUAUACUAAAAGUUGUUGAAUCAUGUACUUAAAAUGCAUGAUAUGUAAAUUCUCUCUCAAUAAAGCUGUUAAAAAAUAAACACAUGAAAUGGGGGGGAAAGUCAUGUUAUGGUCAAGUCUCUAUUUCAAAGCUUGAACUCAAAACAUUCUUUCCUAUCCAUGCCCCUCUAACUACAGACAGGGCAGCAUCCUGGGACUCGUUCUACACUCCCAGGGAGCAGGCAGGGGUUUCCCAAUCCAGGCGGCCCUGGGCCUUUCCUGCCAGCGUAAGGAAGCCCC